GUAAAGCGCACAUAUGCUGACUUUUAAGUCACGGGUGAAAUCCCAGGGCUCAGCCCCGGAACUGCCUUUCAUACUGUAAGUCCUGACUUCAAUAAAGGUGAGUGGAAUUGCAAGUGUAGAGGUGAAAUUCGUAGAUCUUAUCACGAGCACCACUGGCAAAGGCAGCUCACUGGCUCGAUACUGA
rnacentral:rRNA from 1 species